CAUGGCUCAGAUUGAACGCUGGCGGCAGGCCUAACACAUGCAAGUCGAACGGUAACAGGAAGCAGCUUGCUUCUUGCUGACGAGUGGCGGACGGGUGAGUAAUGUCUGGGAAACUGCCUGAUGGAGGGGGAUAACUACUGGAAACGGUAGCUAAUACCGCAUAACGUCGCAAGACCAAAGAGGGGGACCUUCGGGCCUCUUGCCAUCGGAUGUGCCCAGAUGGGAUUAGCUGUGGUGGGGUAACGGCUCACCAGGCGACGAUCCCUAGCUGGUCUGAGAGGAUGACCAGCCACACUGGAACUGAGACACGGUCCAGACUCCUACGGGAGGCAGCAGUGGGGAAUAUUGCACAAUGGGCGCAAGCCUGAUGCAGCCAUGCCGCGUGUAUGAAGAAGGCCUUCGGGUUGUAAAGUACUUUCAGCGGGGAGGAAGGGAGUAAAGUUAAUACCUUUGCUCAUUGACGUUACCCGCAGAAGAAGCACCGGCUAACUCCGUGCCAGCAGCCGCGGUAAUACGGAGGGUGCAAGCGUUAAUCGGAAUUACUGGGCGUAAAGCGCACGCAGGCGGUUUGUUAAGUCAGAUGUGAAAUCCCCGGGCUCAACCUGGGAACUGCAUCUGAUACUGGCAAGCUUGAGUCUCGUAGAGGGGGGUAGAAUUCCAGGUGUAGCGGUGAAAUGCGUAGAGAUCUGGAGGAAUACCGGUGGCGAAGGCGGCCCCCUGACGAAGA
rnacentral:rRNA from 1 species